rnacentral:lncRNA from 1 species
AACUAUUAUGAGGAAAAGCUGAACUGAACUUUCAAGGAAUCCCAGGCACAGGCUGAAAUGCUGGGUGUGGAGGGCAUUUCUCAGAAGACGCUGAGGAUGGGGUGUCACUGGCGGGAAAGGGGGUAACAACGCACAGGGCCAUCAUGCUGGGGUCCUGCUAGGGCUCUCUCUGUUGACGGGGGCAGUCCCUGAUAGCUGUGUUGGCAGCUGGCCUUUCCUUCUGAGAACACUGUCACUUGCAGCCAAGCUCCGGGAAGGCCAUUACCUCUGCUCCGAGCUGCUUGUCGCUGCUUCAGUGACUCUAGUCCUUCUCCUGUGUUACAGGACUUGACAGAAAGAAGGCUGCCUUUGAAGCAUGGAGUACUGAGACUUGCGCUUCCCAGACUCUCCCAGAUCUGGAGGGGAUGAGAAAAGGGGGUGAUCUGACGAUCCCUGGCUUGAGCGGAUCCUGUAUCCCACAACCCAGGGGUCAACACCAUUCCUGCCUUGGCCACCCUUGAAGCCAGCGCAACCCCUGCUGGGGCCCUGAGGCCUCUGGGCUCCCCUUGGAGAGUAAUAGGGUGGGACCCCUCAUGACUUGUCCUCCAGAGGGCUGGAUGGCUGGACCUUUUAGUUGAGUAGGUGAAAAAUACAAGGUCAGGACUAGAGGAAAUUUGCUAAUAAGGUGACCACUUUUUCUGAACCCAAACUGAGAGUAGGGUGGAUUAUUACGACAUAAUAUGGAGUACAAAAAUUGUCACAGUGGUGGAAUAUCUGGGGGAUUCAUAUGAGUGAUUGACUCACAAAUCACUGACUUGCUUACAUCAGCUUAGGCAGCUUCACAAACUAGCUGGGUGACGCUGGAUGAGACACUGAGCCACUGGGGACCUCGGUUUUGAGGGUCUCCCAGCUCCAUGAAUUGAUGAGUUUUGGUGGAGGAGGAGGGGACUUAUGAGGGUCAGGCUGGAGUGGAGUCACAGUGCAGGUGACACAAAGGGGUGGGGUGGCACUCAGUCUGUGCCCAGAGGUGGGGUCGCUGGGGCGUCACUGCACAUCCCUCGCCAUUUCCUUGGGCCGGACUAAUAGGGCUGCGGCUUCUCCCCCCCUCGUGUGCAGGCUCACUGUUUUAUGAAUUAAGGACCCAGGCUGCCCCUGAGGGAGAAUUGAUGGAAGGGGCUCUGCAGCCCCAGACAGAGGCAUAGACCCAGGAGGAGGGGUCCAGAGAGCAGGCCCCCGGGGCUGCCAGCCUCGCCAGCCCUGUGCGGGAGACAGCAGGGCCGCAGAGAGCCCUUAAUGGCCAGGCAGAUUAGGAACACGGUUCCGGCCGAGGGCACAGAGCCCCGGAGAAUGAUAAUCAAACUCCUUGCCGCCAGUCAAGCAGCUAAGCAGACAAGAUCUAAAUAAACACGCUUCUGUCUCCAGUCGGGCGGGCCCCCCUCUCGGUGGUGGAAUCAGGUUGUCUGCUCCAGCAGCUUGACCUUGGACUCUGUACUUGACCCUGGUGAAGGGCCAGAUUUCCCAACAUCAGAUUCACAAACAUCUCUCAUCCUGUGUGCUCACUCCUCUGGGCUCGUUUUGUGUAUUUAUUUAUUUGUGUAUUUAUUUAUUUAUUUAUUUUUAUUUUUUGUCUUUUGGGGGCCGCACCCACGGCAAAUGGAAGUUCCCAGGCUAGGGGUAGAAUCGGAGCUGCAGCUGCCAGCCUAUGCCACAACCACAGCCACACAGGAUCUGAGCCACAUCUGCAACCUACACCACAACACACGGCAACACCGGAUCCUUAACCCGCUGAGCGGGGCCAGGUAUUGAACCUGCAUCCUCAUGGAUACUAGUUGGAUCCAUUUCCACUGCACCACUCUUGUCUGUAGGUUCUUGUCCCAAGGGAGCCGAUGGGUUCGGGAGCUGCUCCAGACUUGGGGCUGGAAAUACGUUCCCAAACUGGAGAUUUCACUGAAGGGCACACCGCCUUUGUACUAGACUGUCUGUAUCUGGGGGUAGAGCUGCGUAACAGGCCCUCUGAGCCUGCACGGGGACAGGUAAACAGGGAUGCUGAAGGAGUGGAAAUGCAUUGUAAACAGUUCUUUAGAAAUGAGUCCCACGGGUGCCAUAUGAAACUGGCUCUGUUUGCAUUUGAAGCCUGGCUGCUGGGAAUUCUAACCAGUACAACACUGUUGGAAGACAAUUUGUAAAUAUUUAGCAAGAGCCUCUAAAAGAUUCAGGUCCUUUGAACUAGUGAUGAUUUUUAUAGAAAUCAAUUCAAACUUUUAAAAGUGAUGCUAAUCACCAAGAUACAUAUUUCAGCAUUAUUUAGCUGAAUUGGAAUUGAUCUAAAUACCCAUUUGUAGGGGAAUGGUUAGGUAUGUUUGGCAUGUUAUGCAGCCACUUAAAAUUUAGUUUAUAAAGACCAAUAUUAUAACCAGUUCUUGUGCAACAACAUUAAGUGGAAAGGCAGGAUACAGUUGAAAGUUUUUACAAUGCGUAAAAUAAAAAACUAGAAAUAAAUCCACCCAAAUGCUAAUAACAGCCAUGCUGGAAAAUGGGAUAAGACGUCAUUUUUUUUUUUUCUGUUUAUAUACCUCUUUCUAAAAUUUGUCUAUGAGCAUUUAUUGCUUUCCAUGGGAAAAAUUAAAUGUAAAAAUUAGAACCUCAGAGAAUUGUUCGAAUAGCAUCAAGAUUUGAGAGCAGAGAGAUUUUAACAUUAUCAAUGGCCAACCCCAAGGUCUUUAGCCAGCCAGCCAGUUAACUCAGUGGUAAAGGGGGGUCUUUCUCUGAGCCUGUCCAUGGCUUUGCUGGGUGGCUGGACCAUCUCUUGACACGUGCAGUGAGGAGGCCUCGGAGAAAUGACCUGUGAGUCAUCGCACAACCCAGUAGCCAAUCAGAAUGUAUUAAGGGCUCCCUGUGAAGGAUGCAUCCUGUUUUGAACUAAGAAUGAUAUAGAAGGUCAAAGGGAAAAUGUUGCCCAAGAGAACCUGCAUUCUUACUUAAGAGAUAAAACACUCCUAAGACUUUUAUACACAUAAAACCGUUCAGGAACAUCAGUACGUCUUUGGACAGAUACUACUUAUAACUAGAUUUGUGUAUAUAUUUGUGUGUGGGUAUAUGUGUAUAUAAGUAUACACACACAUAUGCACAUUCACACAGACACAUUCUGCGAACACUCAAAUAUAUUGGUAGCUCAGACAAUAUACGGUAAUUGUGCAAUGGAAAAUAAGCACUUAUUGUGCUGUUAGUAGUAUUGUCUUUGAAUACAAAGAAUGGCUUUUCAUCGUAGAGCAUUUCAAUUGCAAUGACAAUGAUUGCAGACCAGGCCCACACUCGCCUCUCUUAUUAAUGAGUUGAUGCCGUAGUGCUCUCCAUUUGCAAAAUGCCACACAUAGCAAUUUAAAAAUCUUGAUCAUUUCACCAGAAUCGACGAGGACUGCUUCGUGCGAAAGGCUCCUGGCAGGCUUGGGGAACCCUGCCACAGGUGUCUGGUUCCUGGUGCUCACCUGGAUCCCGCCAGGUGGGUUGGAACAGCUCUCUUUGUUUUCCUGAGGAAGGCACAGAGCAUAGAGCCGGCUGCGUGACAGAUGGGAGUCAGCAGCAAUGCGAUUUUGCUUCUGUGCUGUACCCCUCAGCUGGUCAAAUAUUACCCAGGCAGACAAGGCAAACCACCACCGAGAGGCUCUGGUUCAAGCCAAGGCCAGCCUUGUUCUGACCCCUGAAAUCCGGCUGCGGUCUAUGCGCUCCUCCGGCUUCCUCUUCUUGAGGCUUCAGGGAAAGAAGGUACCUCCCACCUUUUUUGCUCAUCCAAGAGAGCAAAGGCAGGCACCUCCUUAGAAAACGCACCUAAGGCUCUAAUCCCUAUACCCUGCACAGAAAAGAGACCCCGGCUUCCCUCUCCCUUGUCUUUUCGAACCCUUUUUUUUUUUUUUCCUUUUUCUCCCUCAAAGCAAGCAAAGAGAUAGUAGUAUGAAUAAUUGAUUGUGAGAUGCUGCAGUGACUAACAGCUCUGGUUGGACUCUCUGGCUCAGGAAGCCUGGAAAGGUGCAAGGGGAGGAGAUCUGAAUGACAACCAGGCCUGGAGGUGCUGCGGGGUUGGGGGGGGCACAGAGCCCUGUGACCGCCUGGCUGGGGCUGGGUCCUUGGACAGAGGGCUGUGCAUUGGACAAGAGGGGCGAGUUUUGGGAAAGUUCUUCUGUGUUCUAAUCCAAUUUGGAUCACACCAGGCGUGGUCUGCAUGUUUACCCCAGUGUGUGAGUGUGUGCAAAGCAGAAUAAGGGCUCCUAAAGAAAACAAAACAAACCAAAAAAACCCCACUGAUUCAUAGUAUACAAUUUAGGAAAAUACUGGUACCUGCAGCCCUUCCCUCCCCUCCUUCCUAAAGACAUGGUGAGACUGGAGAUGUGAGUUUGAAUCCUGUUUCUACCUCAUACCAGCUGAGAGACUUUGCAGGAGUCUCUGAGCCUCACUUUCCUCAUCUAAAACAGGGAUAAAAACCAACCAACCAGCCACCCUCCACACCAGUUUCAUGUACUGAUGUAUGUACUAUAUGUGAUUAUGCUUGGAAGGUAGGAGACUCUAUCAUCUCGUAUUGGAAUAUAAAUAUAGCUGGUGGUAGAUAAAAUUACCUUGCAGCUAAGCAAAACUGAUUCAGAUCUGUUGUGGAAAUACGAGUAUCCGGCCCAAGAGCUUUCCUCACUGUCCUCAGUAACCUGAUCUGAACCUUAGUCUGAACCUUCAUGACAGGUAGUUCUUCCAGGUGGCCCGCCUAGUUCACUCCAGUUGGAAUGAAUGCCCCUGAGGCCGUGGCUCCUGGACCAGCAGCAUCGCAUCACCUGGGAACUUGUUAGACAUGCACAUUCCAGACCCAGGCUUACAGAGAGAGGGAGUCUGGGGUUGGGGAAUCUAGCCAUCGGGCUUGUAGCAAGUUCUCCAGGUGAUGUUGUGGCUCGCUAAGGUUUGAAAGACAUUGCCUUAAGGGACUGUCUCUCUUGACUUUGCCAAGAACCAUCAGGGCUCCGUCCCCCAUGGCCCUUUUCCCGAUGCUGUAAAUCUGUCCUAGCUCCUUUGCAGGCUCUCCACAAAGGAUGGCUAUUUCCUGGAUUCUUGGAAUGUUGGCAGGUUUCUUAAAACUAGGAUUAGGCAAUUCUUCAAGGCUGGCCACCCUCCAUGCUUAGGCAACACACUAAGGGAUACAGGGCCAUAUCACCUCAUCUGCCACCUCCACGUCUCCCUGUGUCUCUGGGCAGGUUCUCAGGUCCAUCCAUCUGCUUCCAGUGCCACGUUCCUGCCAGGGACUAGGUCGGUUGAGUCAAGAGGGCUGCAGUAUUGCAGAGGAGGAAAAACAAGCUCUCAGGGGAGAAAAGCUGGCCAACGCUGCCUCCUGGUUAUUACCACGGGGCCCGCUGCUGCCCUUUGCACGUGACUGCAUCGCUGCAAAUUCCACAGGCUGCUCUCUGCGGGGAGUUGGGCAAUAGAUAACAACUGUCCGGAGAGUUAUUUCUUUGGUAUUUUGGUUCAUUAAAAAAGUUGUCUGUGGUUCCCAAAAGCUCCAAGGGGAGGGGCUGCUUCUACUUCUGGAAUCCCAGAUGGGAUUUCAACAGCUCUCAACCAGUUCUUAAGCCAUAAGUUAAGUCAACACUUUUAAAUUAUGUGGUGAGCCUACCUUGGGGGAGGUGUGGGUGUGCGUAGAGGAGAUGGUAGUGAUUGGCUCCAAGAUCAUGUGUACAGAUAGCAAAGGUCGGGCGUGAAUUAAUUGAAAAACUGGUCUCCACCACAAAGCCUUGAACUCUAAAGAUGGUGUGUAGACUAAGAAGAGCAAUCCAUCAGAAGCUAUCUUCCCCCCUGCCCCACUGUACAGCAUGGGGAUCAAGUUAUUCUUACAUGUAUACAUUUUUUUCCCCCACCCUUUGUUCUCUUGCAACAUGAGUAUCUAGACAUAGUUCUCAAUGCUACUCAGCAGGAUCUCCUUGUAAAUCUAUUCUAAGUUGUGUCUGAUAACCCCAAGCUCCCGAUCCCUCCCACUCCCUCUCUCUCCUGUUGGGCAGCCACAAGUCUAUUCUCCAAGUCCCUAUCUUUCAUUGCUUGGAAAAUUGGCAGAGUUAAUAUGAAGUGCUGUCCCCUCGACUUCAGGAAGCCGGGGUUCUGAUAUUGACUCUGUCAUUGAUGGUUUGUGACCUUGAGCAAGAUGGUUUCUUCAUUCAUUCUUUUAUUCUUUCCUUCCACAUUUGAUUAACACCGAUUAUGCUCUUGGCACCAGGCUGGUCAAAGAAUCAAGCACCCACUUGUUUAAAAACAGCCCAGGAGUUCCCAUUGUGGUUCAGCAGGUUAAGAACCCGACGUAGUGUCUCUGAGGAUGCAGGUUCUAUCCCUGACCUCACCCAGUAGGUUAAGGACCCGAUGUUGCCGUAAGGUGCGGUGUCGGUUGCAGACGUGGUUUGGAUCUGGUGUUGCUGUGGCUGUAGGCUGGCAGCUGCAGCUUAAAUUCAACCCCUAGCCCAGGAACUUCCAUAUGCCAUGGAUGUGACCCUAAAAAAAAAAAAAAAAAAAAAAAAAAAAA